AAAUUGACGGGGACCCGCACAAGCGGUGGAUGAUGUGGAUUAAUUCGAUGCAACGCGAAGAACCUUACUACCCUUGACAUGUCCGGAACUUGCCAGAGAUGGCUUGGUGCCCGAAAGGGAAUCGGAACACAGGUGCUGCAUGGCUGUCGUCAGCUCGUGUCGUGAGAUGUUGGGUUAAGUCCCGCAACGAGCGCAACCCUUAUCAUUAGUUGCUACGCAAGGGCACUCUAAUGAGACUGCCGGUGACAAACCGGAGGAAGGUGGGGAUGACGUCAAGUCCUCAUGGCCCUUAUGGGUAGGGCUUCACACGUCAUACAAUGGUCGGUACAGAGGGUUGCCAAGCCGCGAGGCGGAGCCAAUCCCACAAAGCCGAUCGUAGUCCGGAUCGCAGUCUGCAACUCGACUGCGUGAAGUCGGAAUCGCUAGUAAUCGUGGAUCAGCAUGUCACGGUGAAUACGUUCCCGGGUCUU
rnacentral:rRNA from 1 species